AUUCAACUGACGAGUCUCAAACAGUACGAAAAGCGUGUCCUGGAU
rnacentral:hammerhead_ribozyme from 1 species